CCGGGGCCCCCAUCCUCCCUUUCUCCAGCUCUGUGCUUAAGCCACUUGGAUGGGGGGCCCCCGAGGGGGGUAAAAAAAAAAAAAAAAAAAGUAUGAAGCAGUAACUAAUCAUAGAACAGAAUUAAAACAAGGAUCUAUUUUCCAUAAAGCCCCCAAGGAAUUUUUACAGUCUCAUCAGUUUGUGUGGUAUCAAACAGGGCAGCUCUGUUGUGGUUAGCAAACAUUAGCGUGUCCUCUUCAUAAUCCCAUCCAUGCCUAAAGUAAAAGGGGCCCCAUGUCAAAAAUCUUCCAGAUAAUGCCUCUGCUGACUCCGCAGAUGUGGGUUUGCUCACUUCUGAGGUGCUGACAUCCUCUUAACCUUGUUUGUAGUGCAGCAGUACCAAAACCCAAACUGUGUCCCAAGGUACAACCUCAACUCUAGAAAUCGAGCAGUGAGUGGGAAACUCACAGAGCCUCCUUUCCCCGUGGAAGUCUUAUCUCACGCAGAAAUUAUUCCCAUAUUUCUUUAGAAUCUGGA
rnacentral:lncRNA from 1 species